GAGAGUGGUCUAAUUUCCUGCUCUUUUGCCAGAAGAAUGGGUCUGCAAAGUAAGCUGACGCCACAACAGACGCAGGAGUGCAGCGGAGAACACAACACGCAGGUUCUUUGUGCGGCAGGAAAUGCUCUACACCGCGGACGAAUAUAAACCGGAGCCACACAUCCCGUUGUAUCACUCGAGAUGGCUGCCUCAACCAGAACCGUUCUCCUUCUCUGCUUGGCCUUUGCGGUUGUGGCCGCGGUGGCGCAGGAGUCUGCUGACGCGCCGCCACCAGCGGUCCCUAGCGGAGGUGUGGCCAACAACCAGGAACCAGUGCAGCCGGUGGCGGGCGACGGAGUUGCUGGGGACCAGGCGUUACAAGACCGCUGGGGGAUAUCCGCGAGCUUCCAUACCGGCUGAGCAGACUGCUGCCGCAUCCAAGAAAUCAGACAGCUUUACUUUCUUUUAAACUUUUAUGUCUCUUCUACAGCUCAAACAUUUAACAUUACUCCUGUUCCUGUAUCGAAAGGGACCUAUAAAUGAACAUGUGUUACAAAAGAAUAAAUAAAUUUUAGCAUUCAAAAAAGGUAA